ACUUAUAAAGAUAGAUUAGGAAAUUCCCUUUUAUUGGUAGUGUGUUUAUGUGUUUUCUCAAAAAUAAAUAGAACCAACUUAUAAAUACACCCUGCAUACAAGCAUUCAAAUCACCAAAGAUAAAAGAAAUAAGUACUUUCCAAUCAAAUUCUCAAAGGACAAAGAAAGCAAAGCCGACAGGAGAUGGUUGAACUGAAUCAGAAGCUAGCAAGGAUCCAAGGUGGGUUGAAGCCAUACAAAUUGAUAUCAAAGCACUGGACAAAAACUACACCUGGACAGUAGUACCAUUACCUAAAGGAAAGAAACCAAUUGGAUGUAAAUAGAUCUUUAAAGUUAAAUAUCAGGCAUCUGGUGUAGUAGAAAGAUUUAAAGAAAGACUUUUUGCCAAAGAAUAUAUUCAAACUGAGGGAAUUGAUUACCAAGAGACUUUUAGUCCAGUUGUCAAGAUGGUCAUGCUCAGGGCUGUUUUAGCUAUAGCUGCAACAAGACAUUGUACAAUGUAUUUUUCCAAGGUGACCUAUAUGAUGAAAUCUACAUGUAAGUCCCACAAGGAUUUAGGAGUUAGGGGGAGUGUAAUCAAGUAUGUAGUCUCUCCAAAUCCUUGUAUGGACUCAGCAGGCACCAACACAGUGUAAUGCUAAACUAUCCGAGUCUUUAUUUGCUUGCAAAUUUGGUCACAGCCAAUAUGAUCAUUCACUCUUUAAAAAAAGAACCAAGGA